GACCGACUCGUACUCGGACUGACCCUCGGUCGCCAUCUUGACUUGUACUCAGUCGGUGCACGCCGGAUACAUCUACGGGGUGGUGGUGACGCAUCCUUAGGCCUUCUCUUUCACGGCUGUCCUCCAUGUCACAGAAGUAAAGGCGAGAGACAAAGAUCCUGAGUCGAAGGUUGGGCGUCUGGCUGAGGAACUGGGACAGUCUGAUGGAGCAGUUGGAGCAGGGAGACCAGGAGCAGAACCAGACUUCUCAUAUGCUUCCCUAUCUUGACCCGCAUUACUUACCUCUACAUGGCAGCCGUUGCGAUUGCGGAGGUGUCCAAAGUCAAAGGUUAAGGUGUCUGGCCCCACUCGCCUCUUCACUACAAAGCAGAGGGUGAAGGAAAGAGUGAGGAGUGAGAGACGGAUAGGAGCAGGAGAGAGGUGUUGUCCAGACCAGAAGGGGCCUCUGAAAGUGUUGCAUAGAAACAGGCCGUUUGAAGACACAGCUGGGGAGAGAAGAAAAGAAAAAGUGAAGUUAGUCACUCUCCCUCAUUCCCUCUCUGGGCUGCCUCUCAUGAUGGGGGUCUCCUGGGUGGUUCUGAAGCACACAGUCUUCUGUUAGGCCAUCCGCCAGCGCUGAUCACUCACACACCAUGACACCGGGUGGGUGCCCUUUAAGUGUGUGUGUGCGUCCGUGGGAGUGUGUGCGCACGUGCAUGGAUGUCAGUGCGCAAAAUAAAAUGAGCUGUAUCUUUGUUUAGACUUUUGUUUUUGUGUAUGAGAAAGCGAGCACACAUUGGCCUGUUGGAAAAGGGGGAAUCCAGGGUUUGUGUAAAUGGGUGUGCAUACAGUAUAUGUGUGUAAUUAUGGGUAUGUGGUGGUAUAAGUGCGGUGUCUGUAUAUCGUGCAUGAGCAUCAGUGUUUGUGUGUGCGUCUGCGUGUAUGUUUGUGUGUGGCCUUCAUAUGCUACCCAUUACAUCACCAAUCUGUGUAAACCACCAUAGGAGGAGAAACAGAGUGAGACACUCAGACUACGACCUCAAAGACAUCAGAGAGGAAGGGGAACCUGUGACAGGGCCUGCCAGCCCUCACUGCCAGACAAACUUUACUCACACAAGCUUCACUCAAUUCGGUCAUGCUUUACACUGGGUUUCCUGUGCGCCAUGGCAUGUAUUCACACAUUAUUACGCAGGCUUCAAAUCAUUUGAACGCCUCACACUCCUCGCUCACCUUUUGCCAGGCUGUUAAUCCACACAGCUGCACGAUUCAUUUCCCAUUCGCCAAAGUCACUUUCAAGACUGAUCUAAACGAAUUCAGAAUGAGUAUUAGUAUAAUAUACUUCACAGUUUAUUUAUCUUACA